rnacentral:rRNA from 1 species
UACGGAGGAUCCGAGCGUUAUCCGGAUUUAUUGGGUUUAAAGGGAGCGUAGGCGGGUUGUUAAGUCAGUUGUGAAAGUUUGCGGCUCAACCGUAAAAUUGCAGUUGAUACUGGCAUCCUUGAGUACAGUAGGGGUAGGCGGAAUUCGUGGUGUAGCGGUGAAAUGCUUAGAUAUCACGAAGAACUCCGAUUGCGAAGGCAGCCUGCUGGACUGUAACUGACGCUGAUGCUCGAAAGUGUGGGUAUCAAACAGG